rnacentral:rRNA from 1 species
AUUGAACGCUGGCGGCAGGCCUAACACAUGCAAGUCGAGCGGAUGAAGAGAGCUUGCUCUCUGAUUCAGCGGCGGACGGGUGAGUAAUGCCUAGGAAUCUGCCUGGUAGUGGGGGACAACGUUUCGAAAGGAACGCUAAUACCGCAUACGUCCUACGGGAGAAAGCAGGGGACCUUCGGGCCUUGCGCUAUCAGAUGAGCCUAGGUCGGAUUAGCUAGUAGGUGAGGUAAAGGCUCACCUAGGCGACGAUCCGUAACUGGUCUGAGAGGAUGAUCAGUCACACUGGAACUGAGACACGGUCCAGACUCCUACGGGAGGCAGCAGUGGGUAAUAUUGGACAAUGGGCGAAGGCCUGAUCCAGCCAUGCCGCGUGUGUGAAGAAGGUCUUCGGAUUGUGAAGCACUUUAAGUUGGGAGGAAGGGCAGUAAGUUAAUACCUUGCUGUUUUGACGUUACCAACAGAAUAAGCACCGGCUAACUUCGUGCCAGCAGCCGCCGUAACAC